GUUUGCUCAGCAACUCUGGGCACCUGUAGAUUCUUGAGUCCCUUUCUGGGCUCCAGCACACCAGCCCCAGUGUAUGCUGAUUUCCAGCAGCCGGUGCUGUCUCUGACCCACACUGCUCCAGGCUUCGGGAAGUCCCUUUGCCUGUGCAUAGGGUAGGGAGUUGCUGGAGGUGCCCUCCCCAGUCUGUGCCCCAGGACAGGGACUCUAGCUCUGCACCAUCUCCUGCCAGAGCGUUUACCUUGCUGGUACUCCGUGCUGAUGUUGGAGUUAGGGCAAAAAGCCUCAGCUCCAGGAAGCCCCUACAGUCAAGGCUCAAGCCAACGGGGUACAAGCUGUGGGACAUCAAGAAAGGAGAUUUAUUCUCAGUGCAAUCACACCAGGAAGAACAGAAGUCUAGGGACCUGUCUUCAAAGUGCUUUCUGUAGUCUCAGGGUCACAUAAGAAAGAGGAACCAAAGCCCAGGGUCAGGAAUUCCAUGGUUGGCAGCCCAGGUCAUCUUGGUCUAGCAGUCAUUUGGUUAAUUACGAUCUCAGGACCAGCCAUGUGGAGCUUUGCUGGCAUCAGGAUCACUGCUGCUCAUAAGGAAGUUUCAGUCAUAAGAUGUUCAUCAAUCAGGCUGGAGUCCUGGGUACCUGCAGAGGAGAAUGACUCAGGAGAACUCAGAAGGGAAAACAAGAUCCUGCCACCUGUGGUGCCUCCGACGGGGAACGUAAGUCAGAAAAGCAGCCACCCUGGUCCAGGGAGUUCCCAGGAAACCACCCAGCCUUCAUCAUCCUGUCUCUGCCGAGCUCCUUGGAGCAGUCCCCAGCAUCCCUACCUGCAGAACAGAAGCCUGAGCAUGAGGACCUGGGUAGCCAGCAGAACAUGGGGGCCCAUGCCUCAUCUUUCCCCACACAUGCAUCCUUCAGGACAACUGGCCUCCUUCCAGUCCCUAGAGAAGCUCUACUCUGCUCCUCCAGGCCUUGGACUCAGCCAGUCCUACUUGCUGCCUGGCCAACUCCUACAUAGCCUUCUAAGCAGCUCCAGCAUUGCCUCCUCCUGGAAGCCCUCCAUGACCACAUCUUCUCCUGAUUGGGCUGCAUACUCCACCUAAGCACCCACAUCGAUUUCUGACCUAACCCAGAGCUGGCCACAUUUGUGUGUAUUUGGUAUGGCCUCUCAGCUUGUCUGUCUCCUGGAAAAUGCCCACCGGCUGUGCACAGCUGAAUCCCGGAACACAGUAAGCAG
rnacentral:lncRNA from 1 species